rnacentral:rRNA from 1 species
GGUUAAGCGACUAAGCGUACACGGUGGAUGCCCUGGCAGUCAGAGGCGAUGAAGGACGUGCUAAUCUGCGAAAAGCGUCGGUAAGGUGAUAUGAACCGUUACAGCCGGCGAUGUCCGAAUGGGGAAACCCAGUGCAAUUCGUUGCACUAUCGUUAACUGAAUACAUAGGUUAACGAGGCGAACCGGGGGAACUGAAACAUCUAAGUACCCCGAGGAAAAGAAAUCAACCGAGAUUCCCCCAGUAGCGGCGAGCGAACGGGGAGCAGCCCAGAGUCUGAAUCAGCUUGUGUGUUAGUGGAACGGUCUGGAAAGUCCGACGGUACAGGGUGAUAGUCCCGUACACCAAAAUGCACAGGCUGUGAACUCGAAGAGUAGGGCGGGACACGUGGUAUCCUGUCUGAAUAUGGGGGGACCAUCCUCCAAGGCUAAAUACUCCUGACUGACCGAUAGUGAACCAGUACCGUGAGGGAAAGGCGAAAAGAACCCCGGCGAGGGGAGUGAAAAAGAACCUGAAACCGUGUACGUACAAGCAGUGGGAGCACCUUCGGGUGUGACUGCGUACCUUUUGUAUAAUGGGUCAGCGACUUAUAUUCUGUAGCAAGGUUAACCGUAUAGGGGAGCCGCAGGGAAACCGAGUCUUAACUGGGCGUUAAGUUGCAGGGUAUAGACCCGAAACCCGGUGAUCUAGCCAUGGGCAGGUUGAAGGUUGGGUAACACUAACUGGAGGACCGAACCGACUAAUGUUGAAAAAUUAGCGGAUGACUUGUGGCUGGGGGUGAAAGGCCAAUCAAACCGGGAGAUAGCUGGUUCUCCCCGAAAGCUAUUUAGGUAGCGCCUCGUGAAUUCAUCUUCGGGGGUAGAGCACUGUUUCGGCUAGGGGGUCAUCCCGACUUACCAACCCGAUGCAAACUACGAAUACCGAAGAAUGUUAUCACGGGAGACACACGGCGGGUGCUAACGUCCGUCGUGAAGAGGGAAACAACCCAGACCGCCAGCUAAGGUCCCAAAGUCAUGGUUAAGUGGGAAACGAUGUGGGAAGGCACAGACAGCCAGGAUGUUGGCUUAGAAGCAGCCAUCAUUUAAAGAAAGCGUAAUAGCUCACUGGUCGAGUCGGCCUGCGCGGAAGAUGUAACGGGGCUAAACCAUGCACCGAAGCUGCGGCAGCGACACUAUGUGUUGUUGGGUAGGGGAGCGUUCUGUAAGCCUGCGAAGGUGUGCUGUGAGGCAUGCUGGAGGUAUCAGAAGUGCGAAUGCUGACAUAAGUAACGAUAAAGCGGGUGAAAAGCCCGCUCGCCGGAAGACCAAGGGUUCCUGUCCAACGUUAAUCGGGGCAGGGUGAGUCGACCCCUAAGGCGAGGCCGAAAGGCGUAGUCGAUGGGAAACAGGUUAAUAUUCCUGUACUUGGUGUUACUGCGAAGGGGGGACGGAGAAGGCUAUGUUAGCCGGGCGACGGUUGUCCCGGUUUAAGCAUGUAGGCUGAUUAUCCAGGCAAAUCCGGAUAAUCAAGGCUGAGGUGUGAUGACGAGGCACUACGGUGCUGAAGUAACAAAUGCCCUGCUUCCAGGAAAAGCCUCUAAGCAUCAGGUAACAUCAAAUCGUACCCCAAACCGACACAGGUGGUCAGGUAGAGAAUACCAAGGCGCUUGAGAGAACUCGGGUGAAGGAACUAGGCAAAAUGGUGCCGUAACUUCGGGAGAAGGCACGCUGGUGUGUAGGUGAAGUCCCUGCGGAUGGAGCUGAGACCAGUCGAAGAUACCAGCUGGCUGCAACUGUUUAUUAAAAACACAGCACUGUGCAAACACGAAAGUGGACGUAUACGGUGUGACGCCUGCCCGGUGCCGGAAGGUUAAUUGAUGGGGUUAUCCGUAAGGAGAAGCUCUUGAUCGAAGCCCCGGUAAACGGCGGCCGUAACUAUAACGGUCCUAAGGUAGCGAAAUUCCUUGUCGGGUAAGUUCCGACCUGCACGAAUGGCGUAAUGAUGGCCAGGCUGUCUCCACCCGAGACUCAGUGAAAUUGAACUCGCUGUGAAGAUGCAGUGUACCCGCGGCAAGACGGAAAGACCCCGUGAACCUUUACUAUAGCUUGACACUGAACAUUGAGCCUUGAUGUGUAGGAUAGGUGGGAGGCUUUGAAGCGUGGACGCCAGUCUGCGUGGAGCCAACCUUGAAAUACCACCCUUUAAUGUUUGAUGUUCUAACGUUGGCCCCUUACCGGGGUUGCGGACAGUGUCUGGUGGGUAGUUUGACUGGGGCGGUCUCCUCCCAAAGCGUAACGGAGGAGCACGAAGGUUAGCUAAUCCUGGUCGGACAUCAGGAGGUUAGUGCAAUGGCAUAAGCUAGCUUGACUGCGAGCGUGACGGCGCGAGCAGGUGCGAAAGCAGGUCAUAGUGAUCCGGUGGUUCUGAAUGGAAGGGCCAUCGCUCAACGGAUAAAAGGUACUCCGGGGAUAACAGGCUGAUACCGCCCAAGAGUUCAUAUCGACGGCGGUGUUUGGCACCUCGAUGUCGGCUCAUCACAUCCUGGGGCUGAAGUAGGUCCCAAGGGUAUGGCUGUUCGCCAUUUAAAGUGGUACGCGAGCUGGGUUUAGAACGUCGUGAGACAGUUCGGUCCCUAUCUGCCGUGGGCGCUGGAGAAUUGAGGGGGGCUGCUCCUAGUACGAGAGGACCGGAGUGGACGCAUCACUGGUGUUCGGGUUGUCAUGCCAAUGGCACUGCCCGGUAGCUAAAUGCGGAAGAGAUAAGUGCUGAAAGCAUCUAAGCACGAAACUUGCCCCGAGAUGAGUUCUCCCUGAGACUUUAAGUCUCCUGAAGGAACGUUAAAGACGAUGACGUUGAUAGGCCGGGUGUGUAAGCGCAGCGAUGCGUUGAGCUAACCGGUACUAAUGAACCGUGAGGCUUAACCUU